GUGUGUGAUGUGCCUGUUAAGUUUCUCCUCUUCCUCCUUCAGCACAUUUUUCUAUUGGGUUGUCUAUGUAAUUGAUGUCUAGGAGUUCUGUAAACAUUUUUGUUUACAAGUCUUUUCUUGGAUGUAUUUUUCUAAAUAUCUUUUCUCAGUCUGUGCUCUGGGUUUUUCAAUUCCUUCAUGGUGUCUUCUGAUAAACAGUUCUUAUUUUUAAAGUCAUCCAAUUAAUCAAAUUUUUCCUUUAUGGUUAGUGUUAUUUAUGUCCUCUUUAUACAAAAAUUUCACCAACCCCAAGUCAUAUUCUACUAUAGAUACAUACACACAUACAUAUAUUUAAAACAAAGUGUUAUUGUUUCACUUUUAAAAUUUAGAUUUAAAAUUCAUCUAGAAUUGAUUUUAAUGUGUGGUUAAAUUUUUUUUCAUGUAUUUAUCCAAUUGAUCUGUGGUUACCCAAUUUAUCCAAUUGAUCAGUUACUGAAAACAUCAUUCUUUCCUUUCUGCAUUGCAGUGCACUUAUACCAUCAAUCACGUAACCUGUAUUUGUGGUUCUCUCUCUCUCCAUCCAUGGGUCUAUUUGCGUUCAAACCAUACUGUCUUAAUUACUGUAGUUUUAUACUGUGUAGCAGUGUAAGGCUUCCAGCUUUGUUCUUCAAGAUUGUUUGGAAUAUUUUCUGGCCUUUUGUAUUUUCAUAUAAAUUUUAGAAUCGGCUUGUCAAUUUCCACAGCCACCUUAAAAACUGCUUGGCAGUACCCAACUACAGCUGAACACUUGUGCACCUAGGUAAGUACUUAACAGAAAGAAAUAUCCAAGAAUGUUCAAAGCAACUCUAUUUAUAAGUGCCCCAAAUUAGAAACAACCCAAAUAUCCGUCAACAGUUGAAUGGAUAAAUAAAUAACCGCGCAGUCAGAGUGGAAUGUUUUGCUGCAAAUGAGGAUAAAUGACCCAGCACUACUCAAAACGAGGUGGUUAAAUCACAUGAGCAUGAUGUUUAAUACAGUAAGUCAAAACCAAGAGAGUGCAUACUGUGAUUCCAUUUAUACAUCAGCAAAGCUAAGAUACAAUGUUAGAAGUCUGGAAAGUCAUGUUGUGUGGGGAGGAGGGGUCAUGGUGCAGGCCUUUUGGGGUGCUCGAUGCAUCCUCUUUCACUUUGUGAACAUAGGAAGGCUUAGUGUUUGCAGGGAAAUUUGUCCUACCUAUGGCAGGGGUAAAUAUCAGGACAGAUAUGAAUACAGUAUGGUUACUGUCCUUAGCGGAGUUUAGAGUUUGGGGACAGUUAAUGAGUGCUAAGUAGGGUUUCAAUUACUGUAGUCAAAGAGCUGUUGUUUUUGAAGCCAGGAAAUAGAAACAUGAAACUAAUGCGGCAAAUUGCAUUUUUAAUUUGAAACAAGGUUAAGUUUAAUUUAAGGCCUGACUUAAUAUUUCCUUGGAACUCUGGGGUAGUAGGUAUGUUGUAAUCUGGAAGGCAAAUAUAAAAACUCUAAAAUCUCUAAUAUAAAGAAAAUUGCUACAUGGAUCUCUUUAUCCUCUAUUCUUGGGUACACUGGACAAGUUGCUGACCAAUGUCGUUGAUUAGAUGUGGCUUCACCGAUGAACUAGUGAAACGUCGUCGUAGUUGAUAGAAGCAAAAACAAGAAAUUUCAAAUUUCUCUGGAUAGUAAGGAAUUGCCAAAGCAGCCCCAAAGGACGUGCUACUCCUAGCAGCUAUGUCUGUGCUUCCCCUUCUCUGAGACCUGCUUUGGGCCUAGGUGAGAGAAGAGCAGGUGCCGAGAUGCCCCAGUUCAUGAAACGAGAUGAGCGGUUCCAGAAUGGUCUCUCGGUGAACGGCAAAUCAGAAACAACAGCUGGAGGGCAAGGCUAUCCUACUAAAACCUCUCAGCCUGACGGGACCUCUGGGACAGACAGCAUAGAACCCCGGAAGGUUCCUGUUGAUGGGGGGCCACAUUGUGUGGCUGCUGCUAGUUGACUGCCCAUGCCUACUUUCCCUUUCUUCUCUGCUAAUGGAUCCCAGUUUCGUCAUGGAGCUGUCUCCAUCUCCAGUUAAGGGUGAUUUGUGAUUAGUUUAACUAGUUACAGAAAUCCCAUUUUCCCUUGUCAGCCAUGGAUUUGAUUUUAGGGCAGAUGUGUCAUCUACUAUGGCCAGAGAGAUGUAAAGGGGACUUGAUGGGAGGCUUGUGGAAAAGGUUUUUUUCAACUCUUCAAAAGGGGAAGCUAGAAGAUUGAGUUUCUUUUGUGCUUCUAGAUGUUUUCCUGUCCAGAUGUGAUUCCUGAAACAGUGGCAGUCCUCCUGUGACUAUGAGGGGAGCCAGACUGGAAACAAAAUUGACGGACAUGGAAAAAAUCUGCAUACUUGAUGAAGUUGUCAAAUCAGCCCUGAAGUCACCCUACCUCUAGCCUUCAUGUUACCUGAAUUAGGGAAAAUGGAUUUGUAGUCAUGGUACUAGCAUUCUGUAUCCAGUUCUCAGAUACAAUGUGAGGAAAUGGCUUUUCUGGUACCCAGAGUGAGGUUUGAGGAUUCCUUGGCAUGGACUCUGCUUUCUUCCUGCAGGUGAGGAAAUGGACUCACUCAUUCUGUGUUUAAAUACUCCCUUAAAUAGAAGCCAUAGAUGUUAGGGUAAAUUCUUCUAGCCUAGCAACAUAAGCCAUGAAUAAGAAAAGGCAGUAACAUGGCCCUUUGAGUGUCAUCAGAAGCUUGGGAGAAACCUCACUAAGACAUGAGCCUUGUGUAGCCACUCAGAGAUCAGUAAGGUUUUCUAACUUUGGAUCAUUAGCCUGGGGACUUACUAUAACAGGUGCAUUAUGUAUAGGAGGCUCUUGGCCAGCAAGAGCAUCACAGUGGGAAAUGUAAUAGCCACAUGUUUUUUUCUGUGUAGUUAAAAAAUUAUAAAUAUUCACAUUUGAGAUAUGGACUAGUCAGUCAUAGAUGACAUAUCUGAGUCUCAGAUUGUCAAUAUAAAGUGGUUAAUUGUUGUUAGUUGUGUUAUCUGUGCAGCGUUAUGAUCUACCCUAGCGAUGGCAGGAGUAAUCAUCAGUUCUUCCGUUCAUGUCCCUUGUACUUCCACUGGCUCCUGUGUCCUACCUGCAGAGCAUUGUAGAAGAGAGUAAAUAAAUAUGAUCUUCAGGACUUUGCAGGACAGGGAUAUCAUAUGAAGCCUCUGAGGCUUUGGCCUAGAAGUCUUCAACUUGUGAUUUCUGGGGAAAGUGAAGCUGUGGCCUAGGAGAAUAAAUCUGUCUUUAUAUAACGAAUGAACUGCUAGCAUCACUUGGACAGCAGUGAGUCCCAGGAUGUGGGCCUUUGUUUCCAUCCCUUUGGACUUUGUGUUUUUGCUUCUCAGAGGAAGAAAUGUCAUCCCUCCCCACCAUCCCUGCUUGUGGAGACUCAGAAAGAAUGGUUGAGUCGGGAGGAAGGGAGAAGAGAUUUGGGGGUGUGGGAGACGGUCAUUUUGGCUGUGGGCAAACAUGUUCAUUCUGCUUUCCCUCAAGCUUAGGUGAGGAAACCACAAAGGCAGAGAGAUGGCCUGAGGUGUGUAUAUGCUCAUUGCGGGGGCACCAUGGGGGCGAAAGGCAGGCGACUGGACUCCCCCUGCAGGAUAAGGUUGGGGCUGGUUGCAAUAAGCAGGGCUUCUCAGUAAGUGCAGAGCCCAUGCUGUAGGCCUCUUGACAACUGCUCACGCCCUGCUUUGUACCUUUUCCCAGUACUGUUUCUACCAUAUGACAAACAGUUUAUUGUAUUUCCAUCCAAUGCAACACAUGGUUGUUGAGCUGGGCUUAGAGGUGCAAGAGACACCAAAACAAAUCUGAUGCUAGUCUGCCUGGGACUCAUGAAUCAG